UUUGUUUGGGUACCCGCUAUCUA
rnacentral:siRNA from 1 species